CUUUAACGUCUUGUUACACAGGCAGUCCUGAGGGUGUUCAAAGAGACCCAAAUUCUGCUGUCUGCAGAGCUGCUAGCUCUGCAAGGCCCGAGCCAGCCGUGAUGGGAGUUAAUGCUACGAACUCACCAAGUUUCUCUUACCUAAAGGCACCUGGGAGGUCCUAACCUCAGGUCCAUGGUUCUCAGGAGGCAACCUGUUUCCAGUAAAUCUGCUGGCUGAGAAGCUUCAACUCAGUCCACAACUCACAACAGAGAUCUCAGCAGUAACCACCAAGAGGAUGAUUUGAAAUAGUCACUGUCCCAUAAAGAAUGUAUCAAAUAGAAGAUGGUUGCUGAUUCAUCAGGAAAAAUUGUACCAUCAGAAAAUCAGGCUACCACUCCACAUUGAUAAAGUAUUGCAAAAAAACGAAGACAAUUAAAUGUCAAACUGACUCAAAAGGUUGUAACCUUUCUUCCAGCAUCUGAUGGAAAUAUAUUGUUUCAUUGUCCUGCCUUCAAGAUCAAGACACCCACCUUCUGCUCCAUGAUUCAACAGUAUGAAAAUAAGAUGACUGCUGACCUGUCCCUGUGCAGUGUGUGGAAGCCACUAAAAAACAUGAACUGCAUAAGUCUUUCACCUCAGAGGUGUCUAUAG
rnacentral:lncRNA from 1 species